UUAAUGUACGUCGUAGAUGUGUGGUUUUCUACAAUGGCUCCAUCGCUAUUUGCUUGAACAUUUCACUGUCUUUGCCAUAUUUAAUCACUUAAGCCUCGUCUGACUUAGUCUCCGCUUCCUUCUUUACUGCUCAUCCUUAACCUACUUCACUUCAGAGCUAUUCUGCACCGAGGUUUACACCCUCGAUGCCACAACAGGACCGCAAGACAAGUACAAGCAACCCUUAGUUUUUCCAUUUACUCUGUUUUCAGUUCUCGUCCGUCAGUCCCGCAUUGUGAAGCUGAAUCAAUACGAAAAGCCGCCAAAGAGGCUAAAUCCGUCUGUUCUGCAAGUUCUCUAGGGGUGCAGAAAAACAUGGUUUAAUGGAGAAUUAACAGUGGGAAAGCCUGGUCUGGGUUUGGAGGAUUAUUCAACCAGAUUACAAUAAGAUUCUUAAAAGGGGAUUUAGGCUUGAAAAAGUGGGACACUGAGCCCGUCAAGCACUUGCUUUCAGGGGGAGGUUGAGACAAGCUGGGGAGUUAGGGGAGGGGGGCUUUGUGCAAAUGCACAGUGUGUGUUUUCGGGGGCGUAAAACCGCAGCUCAUCUCAAUGUGUCAAAUUUGUAUAUCCCACACAAAUUCUUGAGCCAGAACUGGGGCUACCUUCUUGCAGGGUUGUAAAUUUUUUGAGGGCACAUGCAGCUAUUGGGAUGGCGCCAACCAAGCUGUGCUCAGAGUAGACGCCCUGAAAUUAAUGGAACUUAGUCUGAUUUUACACUCUUGAGUGUGAAUAACAGCAGAUGCAGUCCUUUGGACUCCUCUAUGCUGCGUUUUUGUUUUUGUUUUAAUUAUGGUGCUGAAGGAGAUUCUUGAGAGUCCCAUGGACUGCAAGAAGAUCAAACCUCUCCAUUCUUAAGGAAAUCAGCCCUGAGUGCUCAGUGGAAGGACAGAUCCUGAAGCUGAGGCUCCAAUACUUUGGCCACCUCAUGAGAAGAGAAGAGUCCCUGGAAAAGACCCUGAUGUUGGGAAAGAUUGAGGGCACAAGGAGAAGGGGACGGCAGAGGACGAGAUGGUUGGACAGUGUUCUCGAAGCUACCAGCAUGAGUUUGACCAAACUGCGAGAGGCAGUGGAAGACAGGAGUGCCUGGCGUGCUCUGGUCCAUGGGGUCACGAAGAGUCGGACACGACUAAACGACUAAACAACAACAAUGCUGCGUUUGCGAUGAAGCAUAUCUCUCCUACCUGACAGACGCUCGCGCUACGUGAUGACACUUGUUAGCCUGUGAAAAUGGCACAGGGUUUUGGGAGGAUGGAAAUGAUUCACUGGUAUGACUGUUGCCAGGAUGUCAGAAGGCAGCACAUGUGAGUGAGGGCCGGUGUGCCUUCAAGUGCAAUGCUUUGCCCCAUGCUUCAAGAAGCAGGAACAUAAGUCUCUUCCCAGAAUGGUCAGCUCUGGCUCUUGUUGAAGCUUGUAUUUCUGAGUCAGGGUCUCCAGGCAGCUGCCUGCUUCCAGAUCUUCUGUCGCCAAGGUGGAACCACGGGGGUGGCACAGUAACCAGCCAGCCAGCCGCACAUGCUCUAUCUUCAGGCUUAAUUAAACAGCACCACAUCCUCACAGAGAGGCCUGUUUGCUGAGCACGCUGAAGGAGAGGGGAAGGGGGCAGCUGCAAGGGAAAACAAACAAAGACUCUAGCAGAUCAACAUGCCAUUAUGCAGCCAGCUAGAGAUUGCACAAUAAGGACACGGAUGGAAAAGUAGGAGAGGGUAGCACAGCCACGAAAUGGGCAAUAGGUUCCAAUAACAAGCAGCAUUGAUGUUGCUACAAAACAGUCCCCGUUU